rnacentral:rRNA from 1 species
GUCCAUAGCCAUACAGACACCCUGAACAUGCCUGAUCGUGUCUGAUCUCAGAAGCUAAGCAGGAUCAGUCUGGUUGGUACCUGGAAGGGAAGGAGGCCUGAGUUUUGGAUU